GGCGCAGCUAACGCGAUAAGUAGACCGCCUGGGGAGUACGGUCGCAAGACUAAAACUCAAAUGAAUUGACGGGGCCCGCACAAGCGGUGGAGCAUGUGGUUUAAUUCGAUGCAACGCGAAGAACCUUACCUGGCCUUGACAUACUAGAAACUUUCCAGAGAUGGAUUGGUGCCUUCGGGAAUCUAGGCCACAGGUGCUGCAUGGCUGUCGUCAGCUCGUGUCGUGUGAUGUUGGGUUAAGUCCCGCAACGAGCGCAACCCUUUUCCUUACUUGCCAGCAUUUCGGAUGGGAACUUUAAGGAUACUGCCAGUGACAAACUGGAGGAAGGCGGGGACGACGUCAAGUCAUCAUGGCCCUUACGGCCAGGGCUACACACGUGCUACAAUGGUCGGUACAAAGGGUUGCUACACAGCGAUGUGAUGCUAAUCUCAAAAAGCCGAUCGUAGUCCGGAUUGGAGUCUGCAACUCGACUCCAUGAAGUCGGAAUCGCUAGUAAUCGCGGAUCAGAAUGCCGCGGUGAAUACGUUCCCGGGCCUUGUACACACCGCCCGUCACACCAUGGGAGUUUGUUGCACCAGAAGUA
rnacentral:rRNA from 1 species